GCUGGGUUAGCUCUGUGGUUAGAGCUUAGGUCUUAUGACCGGAAGGUCCCAGAAUCGAAUCCCGGCAGAA
rnacentral:tRNA from 1 species